rnacentral:rRNA from 1 species
ACGAACGCUGGCGGCAUGCCUCACACCUGCAAGUCGCACGAGACCUUCGGGUCUAGUGGCGCACGGGUGCGUAACGCGUGGGAACCUGCCCUUAGGUUCGGAAUAACUCCCCGAAAGGGGUGCUAAUACCGGAUAAUGUCUUCGGACCAAAGAUUUAUCGCCUUUGGAUGGGCCCGCGUUGGAUUAGCUAGUUGGUAGGGUAAAAGCCUACCAAGGCGACGAUCCAUAGCUGGUCUGAGAGGAUGAUCAGCCACACUGGGACUGAGACACGGCCCAGACUCCUACGGGAGGCAGCAGUGGGGAAUAUUGGACAAUGGGCGAAAGCCUGAUCCAGCAAUGCCGCGUGAGUGAUGAAGGCCUUAGGGUUGUAAAGCUCUUUUACCCGGGAUGAUAAUGACAGAACCGGGAGAAUAAGCUCCGGCUAACUCCGU